AGUCACAGUCGGUGGUUACGUUAUCGUAGAAAGAGAGAGAGUGCGAAGAAGUACUGGCCUCGUGCGAACCCAAAGAAUUGGGUAGAAAUCAAUGGCGUUCUGUGUCUAUCAAAGUGAUUAACGUGAAGUGUGGCACGCACUUUUGGUUAACCUCUGCAAGGUCUCGGGCCAUGGAGCUAAUCUAUGCUGAGGCACCCCUAUCAAAUUGCACAAACAGCGAAGAAACAGAGCAAUCGGAAACUGGAAACACAUGCAAUACGAACCUCAGAGUCCUGCAAACUGAGUCCAAAGCCAUGGUCACCAAACAUCAAACUGCACGUUCCUCUGAAAAAGAGUCUGACAGCCCCAAGCUGCGCCGAUCCAUCCUUGUAGCAUGAACCCGAGACUUCUGCACCUUUCUGCAGCAGCAACGAACGCAAGGGAGAGGGAGAACGGUCAAACAUAGGCAGAUGACGCAAACAUCCGCUCGUCUUCCACUCUCAUUCUUGACAAUUUCAGUCUUGCUCCAUGCCUUAAUCGGCAAUGAGUAAUGAAAUUUGAUCCAAUGCUGAAUAUGGAAGAAAUAAGAUUUUGCUGAAUUAAAUCAAAAAGGUGAUAUCUUCCUCAAGUCAAGAAGGGAAUGCAACUCCAUUGGCAGUUCCCUGGAAAGGUCAAAAGGACUCUGAAACCCUACUGAGAGGCUAAAGUAUGUAUAACAUUGACCAAUUGGCUUUCUCAGGCCUUGGGAAACUCAACUGCUGAACAGAGAUGAGGACUUCUGAAUGGAAAAGGAGAGUACAUUCAGGACUGCUUGUGCACCAGGAGGAAGAAGAGAUACCUCUUUCUGCAUUCCUCCCAUUCAAUGAGGAAACUAUCAGCUUCCCUAUAUUGGACUCCCUUGAUCGGAUUUCGUGCUCUUGAUCAAACUCUACCCCCUUACUGUCUCUCUCUUACAUUCAGCAAAAUUGUAAACAUAGCCUUUUUAAUUUUAUAUAUAACAUUAAAUAAAACAAUCAACACCAUCUUCCCCUUUGUUUUUUGACUAUCUAAUGAAAUCCA